GCUUUAGCAGCGGCUAGUUUUCCAACUCUGCUGGAUUCUUCUGUUACUCUUUGCUCGCUCACGAUCACUCCGUAGAUUUCUCUUUCUCUCUCCUCUCUGUCUCUCUCUCUGUCCACAUCCACACUAAGGUUUAUUAAUCAGGUACUCAAUCGCAUUAAUUAAACUAGAUCAUGUCGACGCCGCUCUCUACGUGUUUUGCUGCUUUUCCUUGUUAAACGUGAUCACUCAUGUAUUCGACGCUAUUUUCUCUCCGACUUUCAACUGAUGCCAAAUGUGCGAUUGUGUGAAUAGGUUGCCUGUUUGAUUCCUACAUUUUGCGGUAGCUUUUGAUUCCGGGAUUGUUCUUCAGUCCCGUGACGGUCAGAUCUGAUGGUAGAAUUAGUGAAGAACCGAUAAUAGG
rnacentral:lncRNA from 1 species